ACAGUACAAACUGAUCAAGCCAGGGCUAACGCCCGGAGCCGGGUCACGAACGUGACAGUGGAGUUCUCACCCACGGGACAGUA
ncrna:unclassified sequences NiCo riboswitch